CUCCCACACCUACAACUGCUAAACCUAAAACUCCCACACCUACAACUGCUAAACCUAAAACGGCAGCACCUACUACUGCUAAACCUAAAUCGGCAGCACCUACAACUGCUAAACCUAAAACAGCAGAACCUACAACUGCUAAACCUAAAACGGCAGCACCUACUACUAUAGCCCUUAUAACAAAAAGGGUGACUUUCAGAUCUGUCCUAGACACAUUUACCAAUGACUUGAUGAAUCCAUCUUCUGCUGCUUAUAAAGCUCGGGCUAAAAUGAUAAAGGAUCAGCUUACACCUGUUUUCAAAAGGGUAUUCCCUUCGUCCUUCAAAUCACAGAUGUUGUUUCAUUCAGUAACGGAUCAAUCAUCAACGUCAUUGAUG